UACGGAGGGAGCGAGCGUUAAUCGGAAUCACUGGGCGUAAAGCGCAAGUAGGCGGCUUCGUAAGUCAGAUGUGAAAGCCCCGGGCUUAACCUGGGAACUGCAUUUGAUACUGCCGAGCUCGAGUCUGAUAGAGGGGGGUGGAAUUCCAGGUGUAGCGGUGAAAUGCGUAGAUAUCUGGAGGAACAACAGUGGCGACGGCGGACCCCUGGAUCAAGACUGACGCUGAGGUGCGAAAGCGUGGGGAGCAAACAUG
rnacentral:rRNA from 1 species